rnacentral:rRNA from 1 species
AGGGAAAGAGGGAGGCAGGCCUAACACAUGCAAGUCGAGCGGAUGAAGGGAGCUUGCUCCUGGAUUCAGCGGCGGACGGGUGAGUAAUGCCUAGGAAUCUGCCUGGUAGUGGGGGAUAACGUCCGGAAACGGGCGCUAAUACCGCAUACGUCCUGAGGGAGAAAGUGGGGGAUCUUCGGACCUCACGCUAUCAGAUGAGCCUAGGUCGGAUUAGCUAGUUGGUGGGGUAAAGGCCUACCAAGGCGACGAUCCGUAACUGGUCUGAGAGGAUGAUCAGUCACACUGGAACUGAGACACGGUCCAGACUCCUACGGGAGGCAGCAGUGGGGAAUAUUGGACAAUGGGCGAAAGCCUGAUCCAGCCAUGCCGCGUGUGUGAAGAAGGUCUUCGGAUUGUAAAGCACUUUAAGUUGGGAGGAAGGGCAGUAAGUUAAUACCUUGCUGUUUUGACGUUACCAACAGAAUAAGCACCGGCUAACUUCGUG